UUAGCCACAGUAGUGCUAAAGUUACUGCUACAAAGGCGACUGUAGGAGCAAUGCUGCUGGUGGCCUGUCUCCUCCGGCGACAUUCGCAGCUGCACAGUAUUUGUCAAGAAAAGACAGAUGAUUCUGUCAACUUGCGUGGGUUUUCGUAACAUUUGCAAGGCCUAUCCAGAUUCUCUCUUCAGUGGCAAAAAGAUAACAAACCGUCUUUGUUAACAGUCUUCCCAGGACGCAUGCUGGCACGAAAUAGGUGCCACUGGCACGUUGCAGACCAGCGAUGGCUACACUUCGGCGGUUAGGAAGUUGUUCUGCUGCACAGUGUUUGCAAAAUAAGAUGAGAUCUUGUGUGGGCGAAAAGUGAUAAAUAUGUGCAAAUAUUUAGUGUUGCAUUCUGCAGCCUGGGAACACCAUUUGGGCUGGCCUUGUAAGAGCAACAUCUCUUGGGAAUUUCACUUACUCUCGUAAUUUGUUGUCGAUGUGACAUGGCAGAUUAUAGUUCAUCCUCGGAAACUGCGAGUCGUUUCCUUCUAUUCCUAUUUGACAUACAUUUUUGCUCAAACUUGUGAACUGCUUCCAUCAUUUUGGGUGGCAGUACAGAUGCACGCAUUUAACACUUCUCUCUCCUCCUAUUUCUUUCUGAAAAAGAGUCCAGUUGUACCAAACUCUGAACCGAGGAAACUUGUCAUUUCUCAUCCAGAAGGAAUGUAUGUAAAUCCAUCGUCUUAACUGACGCCUCUCCAUGAGCUUCAUAUAAUCAGCCCUUGUAGCUUAAAGUGCUAAUGGUCAGGAGUGAUUGUCCAAAGUGGACAGAAGCCUCUGAGAAGGCGUGCAGAGGGGUCAGGAAGAGGAGGUUUGGAGAAAAGAGCCACGAUCGUAAAUCCCCUUUCCCUCUGGCACGCAUGCAAAUCCGAGCGAGACUGCACGCUGCCGGAAGCGGCACAACAAUCACAACACGGGCUCCGCAGCGGCUCGGCUCUGCGCAGAGGAGCAGCCUUUCGUGUGCACGGUGAAAAGCACGGGAGUCCAGCGGGAGCUCUGCUGGGAGCAGGAGCAGGGAGCAGUGCUGGGCAGGGAGGUGGCCAUCUCAGGCGGCUCCUGUGAAGCCCCUCCGAGUCACCUGGCUCUGCCGGUUGCACCUGGGUCUCUCCAGGCCCGCCACGUCUUCGCUUCCUCAGAACCAUUCCUGGAAAUCAUCACAAGUUCAGCUUCAGUCUGUUUGCCAGUCACUGUGUAUUUUCAGGGCCUGGGAUCCCUCCCAAGCGGUGCUCAGCUCACACCAGGAGGUCAAAACAGGCUGAAACCCUCCGGAAAGUAGCCGAUGGGAUAAAUGCUGCCACGGUGUUGUUCGCACAGCCUGCACAUAGAAUUCCUCUCCCUUACCUUUUGCCAGCCUCAUCCCUUUCCCCUGGAAGCUGGUCGGAGCAGGCACUGUGGUAUGCAGCGCCCAGAACAACGGCGGCCCUUUUCAAAUGGCUCCUUAGCGCUGCCAUAAUAAGCCUGAUAAAUAAAACAUGGCUUGCAGACAUGGAUUUACUGGAGAGGGCUAAGGGGGCUGUAGCUCCCUCAUUAGUAUCUCCCGGUGCAGCAUGUGUGCUCCUCAUUAUGUGGCACAGUGGCGGUUGUCUAGUCAUCCACGAUGAGGCUGCAGCCACUCCAAGGAUGUGCCCGGGAUCCCAGGGAUUAUUUUUUUCUUCUGUGUUAAUAAUAGGAAUAUAAAAGAAAAGAAAAGGAAAAAAAAAAAAAGACCUUGAAUAGGAAAAGGAUGAAGGGGGAAAGACUGCAGCACUGAGUCAGAUUUUCUCUCCCUUGCUUACCUGUAAGUCAGCAGCAAACGUGGAGAAAUAGACAUAGCCGUGCUAAUAUGGAAUUGGUGUGAGUAGGGUCAAGGCCUCCAGACUGCACAAACUCUUAUUUUGGGCAUCUUUGUUUCCCUUCAGUCUGAAAAUGCUGCUUUGUAAACUCUUGGCCGAAGUCUAAACUUCAUUCUCUUCCUCCCAUUUUUCUUCUGUUUAAGGGAGAAGAGUCAAAUUGGAUGAUUUCAAGUCCCUCAAAGCUGGGGAUGCGGGAAUCUGGGUUAAUCCAAACGGGGUUUGUGGAGGUUUGAUCCAGCUUUUCUUUCUGGCCAUCAUUUAAAUCCCUCCUUACCUCCAGCAUACAAGCUGCGGCUGCAUCAUCGUAGCAACCCUGUGACCGAGAGGCAUGAGAGUCUCCUCUGAGGCUGUAAUCUCACUCUAAACAGCUCUCUAGUGGGUGCUCGUGAGUGGCAAUACAUCAUGCAAUUUUCUCCUUUAGAAGCUCACGGUGUCAUCUCCGCCGUGAUCCCUGCCCUGCCCCGCCAGCACUGGCAAGCCAGAGCCCAGGGCCGGCCUGGGAGCGGGUUCCUGGCACAGCACCGCAUGGCUGGGGCACGUGUGGGGUCACAAAUGGCGUUGGCAACAUCUGCCCCUUCCUCUUUGCAACCCGGCCCACGGUCUGGUGGAAGAGGUACCUGUUUAGGAUGGUGGGAGACUUUACUGGCAUAGCAAAAUAAUCCUCGAUAAACUUGUGACGUUCUGUAACGGUAUUUAAUAUGCAGAUGGCCAAACGAAUGCCAUCGUGAUAUAUUUUUAUGGACAAAUAUUAUAUAUUAAGCCCUGAUUUAUGCAUUUGAGCGUAAUACCUGGGGCUCUGAGGAGAGCCUUUAAUCUCUGUCAGCGAGGCAGCACGCAUGCUAAAAUGCCGAGUAAAUCUGCACGGGAGCGGUGAACCGAGCGCAGCAUAUAUCAGAGUUCUUCCGCCUGAUAAAAUUAAAUACACAAGACCACCUUUCUGUGACAUUAACGGUUUGAUACGCAAGGGCUGACAUCAGGAAAUACCGACCUCCGCUUCCCGCUCUGACCAUAACCUGCAGCGUUCCUGCUGGUUCUGCCGUCCCCAUCCCGAGGUGCGGGAAGGGUGUCAUGUCAAGCUCCCAAGAGAAGUUCCUGGGUGAAGGAAGGUCCCUGCCCGUGACUUGCCCCCUCUCCUCCCACCGCUCUGCCGCACCUUGCCUUCCGUGUGGCUGCCGGGGUGCAGGCGGGGGUGGGGGUGGGGCCUGAUGCCCUUUUUCCCCUUUGUCAGCACAUAUAGGGUGAGCAUCGUCUCAGCGUGGGGUUCUGCAUUUAAUAAUCUCACCAGCUCAACUGUUUUUAUCUGAAUCUCCCUUCUGAACUGAUAAAUCUAAAUUGCACAUUUUCUAAACCGCUUAGCUUAGGGGUAAAUCUUGCAGGUAUCCUCAAAUGACUAGCUGCUGUCUUCUGCACCUGUCUAGCACCAUCUACUGUAGCUUUUUUAUACUGUUUCCCUUUCCCUUCCCGUCUGCAUGCUUACGAUUCCUGCAGGAGCUGCCUCCAUCCCGAGGAGUCUGUGCGAGAACGAGAGCUCUGGUUUUGUUUGAAAGGCCCGGGGCUGGCACGAUGGUGAAACAAAUGCAAUAAGCGUUCAUCCUAUAGAUGAAUGCUCCUCGUUUUAAACCAGUGACCUGAUUUUCAGUACCCAGCUUGCUGUUGAUAAAUUUUUCACUCUUCUCAGUGCUCAGAAAGAGAGGAAGAUGGAGCAGAACAAAGGUGGCCCACCUUCGCUGAAGCUUUCCAUGCUAGCUGGUGGAUCAAGGAUUCGGGACGUGGCAGGAUGAGGGGCUGGAACAGAGCAUUGUGCGGGGAGGAGAGGGCCUGUGUGGAAACAAAUCUUCCGGCUGCUGCCAGAAGAUGCCAAGGGGGAGACAGCAGCUUGGAUUUCUACCAUCUGAUGCGGAGUUGUGGGAUGGGACUAGAAGCAGCAGGAUUUUCCUGUGAAAGUCCUAUCUCCUCUUGUUACCCUCAGUAUUAAAAGGGAAGCUGCUCUGAAGGAGUACCCUGCUUUUCUCAGCUCUGCAGUUCAGAGCUGACAUGGAGGCGUUAUGUGUCCUUAUGAUAUGCACUCCUAUUACAAUGUGGUUUUGUCUGGAGGAUGUUGUACGGUUGAAGACGACUAUUACAACCAAAAAUAGAACCAGACCUUUCUGACUGCUAUGACUAUUAUGGAUCUGUAUGAUUAAUAUUUAGUAGCUUUACAAAAAGCACCAAAAGCUGGAAGUCAAAAUCAGAACAAAGUUGUGCUACGGAUUGCAUAUGGCUGGGUUUUUUUUUUAAGAAAUCUGUUCAUAAUGAGCAUUUCUGGAGGUGAUAGAUUAGCAUAAAAAUACUGCCAGUCUGUUCCAGGGCUGUAAAACACAAAACAAGGUACAUCACACAUUUUUUGUUUUUUUAAUCAUUAAAACCCAGAUUAUCUGUUUGUAACUAACUUGUUUCAAUGGCAAGUAACGUAUUUUUCCAGUCCUGGAAAUGAGGUAGAUUUGGCAGCUUAGCCUACGAAGUUCUGUGGCAAAUCUGCAAACUGAAAGACCACAGGGUUUUGUCCUGGCUUUGUUUCUUGAUGAAGUUCUGAAAAGAGCUAAAUUAAAUCCAUGCUCUAGCCAUAUGUGUAAUUUUGCUCUACUGGAAUAGCUUAUAGCUGUCAGUGAAUUUCUCCAUACUCUCAGCAUUGUGUAAGGGAUGAUACAAGAGCCUGAAGAUUACUCUCUCCAGUAGUACCAUGCGUUUGUGAGCUUAAAAUCAUUACAACAGCAUUUUUCAUUUACAUGGCUGGAGAGAAUCUGUUUUUGCAGUAAAUUUGUAUUUGAAAGCA